GAGACAAGAAAAAAAUUGGCUGCACCUAAUUCUUUCAUUUCAAAAAAUACUCAGCAUAUUCAUCCAAACAUUUUGCUGCCAAUAUCAACAAUACCAACUUCCCAUUCAUUUCCCGUCCUAAUUUAGCCUUUGAUCUUUGCUCCCUUUCCUUUUUCAAAUUUACUUUGUUUCUCUAUUUCCUUGUCCGAUGUUAAUUAUUAAAUUUUUUAAUUAUUAUGGCAUAAUCUCCUAAGACCCAGAAAGACACGGGAACGAGAGUGGGAAUUGAAAAAUGAAACAAAAAAGCAAAAGGGGGCUGGGAAUGAAAAUCCAAAGAGCAACGAAUCUCAAUGCUCCAUGUCAUAUUUUCUGGUCCGUUUACAAAAGCCUUUGGUUUUCAAUGGAGUUCGAUUGAGGCUGAGUCGUGCGAGAUCCAUUUGGAGCUGACGAACGCGAGUUCCGUCCAAGGUCCUAUUCGCAAUCUUUUUGCUUAUGAGUUUCAAAGUUGUCCGAGCAUUCAAAUUUCAGAUUUAAUAUUAAGGUCCAUUUCUCUUCACUGAUCCCAUUUGAUUUCAAUUUGUGCUUUCUUGUUUUUAAUAUCUGUUUUUAUUUUAAUUGCUUCUUUGUGGUUGUUGCGUAAAUAAUUCAUGAUUUAUAGUUGAGUGAGUGCAAAUGAUUUCAUGUUUUCGCUGGGGAUUCAA